AGAUGUUCCCUUGGAGGAGUCUUGUAUGAAAAACAGCCUUCGCAUCUGUUGUUUUCCUUAUUUAGGGUCUAUUUCAUGCUGAAUGAUCCUGGAACACACCCCAGGCCUCUGUCUGGACUCCUCUGCAGCCUGUACUUCCUCUUCAGCACUGCAGCUCCUGAAACACUUGGUGACAUAUGGUAGCCUAUCUGUGAAGUGUGCUCAGUGCACUCCAUUUGCUUUCUCACUCUGCAGGCUGGUGCAUCGUGUUGGGCUUCGUAUUUCUUAAAGGGAGACUGAUAAACUGAUAGUUGGCCACCUGAAAUCUUUUUUUUGGAACAAGACUGGAACCUGACACAUCGGCCAGAACAGAAGGCAUGAAAGUGCUGUGACAGUGAUCCAGCCGGGCCAUUCUGUCCAGAGCCACGCAGCCCUGCAGCUGUUAGCCUGGAGGACUUCAUGGCCUCAGCCCGUGUUGUCGAUGGAGAAGAACUGGAACCAUUGAAGAGUCUUCAUGUUGCACACACUGUCUCCUUCACCAUCCAUGAAUGUGGGGACGCAUGGAUCCCACAUCCAUGAAUUGGGAAUGUGGGGUAAGGGAGCAGGCUGGGAACAUUCACUGGAAUCAACAACUUCGAAUUGAAAUUCUUUGCCCUUGAGAACUUUGGCCAAGGAAGAUCCUGGUUGUAUGCCCUCUCCUACCCUUUAUAGUCUAUGGAAAUCCUUCAUCUUUUUAAAAUCGUUUGGAAUGAAAAAAAUUUACACAGUGAAUUUUUCUUAUCUAGAACUUAUACCUUAAGGGCCCUGACCACUUGUUACUUUAAUGAAUUUUAAUACUAAUCUUUCUAAAAUGAAUUGCACACUUCUUUGCUUUCCGAAAAGAUCAAGUGAAGAUAGUAUACAUUUUUCAUUUUCCUAUUUACUGUCAGGUGCUCUGUUGUCACUUUCCAUGGCUGCCUCUAACCGACUUUGUCCCCGUAUCUAAUUUGCUGCUUCUGAAUGGCAGUGAGCAAAAACUCAACAUGCUGAGCUUAAAAAUAUAUUUAUACAGGUGAUGUAUGUUUUUGAAGAGGGGAGGAGAAACUCUCUCAAGUCAAGUGCAUGAGCUGUGCCUGGGGACACAUAUUUCUGCUUUAUGGAGACCUUUAAAAAUACUCUCCCCAAACUUUUCUUGUUCAUCUUUGAUUCUCAGUGGUGUCCUAGACAUUUGAAGUUAGCAGAUAAAUAACCCUCAGAUAAGUAAAGAGUUGUGGACUGACUGUUCUUCAAAGGUUAGAAAACAGAUCAAAUAUAUCCAUUUCCCAAUUGGGAGUGGGGGUCAGCUGCAGAGCAGCCAGCAAAGACACUUAAUUCAAGCUUAAUCGCUUCUCCCAUGCUGACUGGAUGUGAAUGCGGGGUCUUUCACAGUGACGAUGGCUGUGGCAACAGAAGGAGGAGCACAGAAGGCUCCUGGAGGUGCUGUGCACUGGAAACAGGUUGGAUGUGUGCUAUUUGGGUGUAGCAGACAACACGGGGAGAAGUCUUCUGCAGAAGGAGGUGAGUGACUGAGGGGUAACGCGCUGGGUUUGAAUGGAACUAUCCGUCAAACCGUGAGGCCUAUUCUUUGGAGCUAUAUUUGCCAAGAACUCAAGUGUCCUGUAAAACUUGGAGCAUCUUGGAAGUGGGAGGAAGUGCACCCCAACCCUGACACUUUUAUUUUAGAAAAAGAAACCUAAGCUCAGAACAAGCUUCUGUGUUCUUAGAUGAGCCAGCAUAAGCAUCUGUACUCUGACUCCAACGCCAAUAUUUCUUCCUACUUCAGAAUGCUUUCAAACGUAAGAUGUCAUGAAUGCAAGCAAAGGCUUUCUGUGGGUAGCAAGCUUACUGCUAGUUUUGGGAUGAAAAGACCUGAUGCCUUGGGUGGUUUUCUAUAUUCAAACAAAAGAUGCAACAGAUCAUCUGCAGAUGACCAAUUGGUAUAAUGGCCAAAUGAUUUAGAGAAGUUGUUUUCAUCUUUUUUAUCUAUCAGUAGAUGGCAGGAGAUACCAUCAAAUCAAGUCAUGAAAAGGGGCUCAAAUGAUGGAAUUCAGUCAUUGUUCCUUGUAUUCCCUAGAAAGCUUGCUAUCUAGGGUAGUCAGGGUACUAUGUUGACACCUAGGGGGAGACUGUUUUUGAAUAUAGAUUUGGGUUCACUUAUUUGCUUCCCCAUUAAUCUGGUGAGAUUACAGCUGGUUUAAAACAAUAACCAAAUGUUGGAACUAAAUUUACACUCUUUAAAGAAGACACCUGGAGAAAUGAUUCAUCACUCAUGUUGCUAAGAUUAAUUGGGCAUUAUAAUUGUGUUAAGUGGAUUCACACACCAUGUAGGAAUCCAGGAGUUUCCUAUUUGCUUUCUUUUCUUUUCUUUUUUCUUUCCCUUUAGGCAGAGAAGAGAAAACAGAGCUAGCUAACUUUGGUGUGAGAUGGGGCAAUCCAGUAUCAUAAACAGCUUUAUCUAAGAUUAAUGCAGAUAAAGCACUACAAUUAAAAUAAUACUCAGUAAACGCAAGGAUAUUUUCAAAUGCCUGAAUCGACUCUGGUCUUAUGAGCUGAUAUUUCCCUACCCACAGAAAGGUCAUUUUCAUCAAGAUUAAAUUUGAUUUUACUUAGAUUUUUUUGGAGUAAAGGGUACUUAGAUGCACUAUCCUCAGGUUUUCCUAAUUUGGAGAUUAUAGAAAGGUGAAGCCCUUGUGGAAUUUUCAAGAAUUGAAGUUUUCAAGUCUUCAAGUGUGUUGUUCCCUUCUUAUGCACUUGUCAUCACUUAACACCUUAUGCCUGUGAUGCAAAGGAUUUGAAUCAACUACUUUAAAAAAAUCUCUUUCAUCGUUUGACCCCUGCUUUUUGGAUAAUUUAUGAGAAAAACAUUUAAUCGAUGUAUUGAUUUUUUUCUCUUUUAAACAACAGCUUAGCCGGAAACCAUGCAUAGUUUGGGAAGGCUAACUGCAGGGGCAUGGACAUGGGUGUCACACCCAACCACAGCCUUGGUUUGUGCCACCUCCAAUCACAAGGGCACCAAGGGCCUGCUGGGUCCCCAGGUGGGAAUGAGUGCCACAGAAAGCCCCAAAUCCUUGAAACAGAAAGAGAACUGAAUUUGCUUGCAAGCAGACUCUACUUACUUUUCCUUGUAAAUUUCUCCACUGGGGAAAAGAUUUUACUCAAAAGCACAUUAUUUUCUCCUUUGCAAAACAUCCAAGUGGUGGCUGCUACCAAAAUAUGCUACCAGAGAACAUAAAAACAGUCUUCUGAGUCUGUGUUAGGCCACUUGAAAGUCUCACUUGACAACCCCUCAGUGUUACUGAGCAGCACCAUGCUGUUGUACUGCGGGAGAUGGCACUUCUGGGUCAAGGUAUGGGGCCUCCAGGUGUGGGAAACUAGGAAGAACCAAGCAGUCCUGGCAUGGACACAGGAUAGCCAGUGUGCCCUCUUUCAGUGGUUUUACCAUUUGUUGUAUGUUGUAAAUCUCCUACAACUUAUUUAUUUCAUUGUCAGGGACAUCCUUUCACAAUGAAAAGUGGCAAUAAGUUUCAUGGUCACCCAUUCAUGCCCCUACUUCUUCCCAAAGACUCUACUUUCCUGUUUUGUGUGUACCAUUAUCAACAACAUACGGUCAAUUGCUAAGGAUGCAUGUUGAUCUUGCCUAUAUUGUUCAGCUUUCUCAUUCUGUGAUCAGCUGGCUUCAAGGCAGAAACAUCAUGGUGGAAGGGUACAGUGGAGCAAAGAUGCUUAGUUCACGGCAGCCAGGAAACAAGUGUAACAGUGCCAGAGAGGAAGGGGGCCUGGGACCAUAUACAGAACCCAAGUCAUGCCUACAUGACUGACCCAGACACACCUGGAGGUGUGCUCCACCAGUUCCCCAUGUUGAUCCCAAAGCCAAUCAAAUCAACACUUCAUUCAGGCCACAUCUCACUCCUUGUCAAGUUCAUGCCUGAAUACAUCCCUUUAACCACACUUAAUCUCUAAAUAAAGACAACACUGUAUUCAUAAUUCUGACUAACAUAGUACAACUCUACUGCAUACAACCAGAAAUGCAACAAUCCCUUCCUCAAAGCCUCAACAGUUUUAGCAUUUCUCAAUGUCAGCAUUUUUCAAAAGUCCAAGUCAAUGUUUCCUCUCAGACUCAAGGUAAAUUCUUAGCUGUGAACUUCUGUAAAAAUAAAAUAACAAGUUGUUCAUUCCUAAGGUAUAAUGGCAUAGGGUCAACAUUCCUAUUCCAAUAGGGAAGAAAGGGGCUAGAAAACAAACCAAAGCAAGACUGAAAACCAGCAGGACAAACAUUAAGUCCUAUAUCUUGGUACACAGCAUCUGGGCACAUGCUAAUGAGAUGUGAAUUCCAGAGCUUGGAUGGCCCCACCCCUAUGGGCUCACUGGUUGCUCCCCACGUGUUCUUUCUCUGGGGUUGGCUCCACUCAUGGUCUGCAGCUUUCCUUGGCAGAUGUUCCACAUUACCACUAUCUCUGACUUCCUGGGAUCUCCACUGCACCUUUGGUUUCAUUCCUAUAGCUUCAUGUACUGCCCUCUGAGGGGCUUCUUGCCUGGUCUCCCAGGCCUUCCUUUGAUGUCUGGGUGGAAGCCUCACUGACUCCACAACUCUUGCAUUCUACAUGCUAGUAAACCCAGCAUCACAGGGAGGGUGUCAAGGUUGGCUGACACCUUAAGCAGGAGUCAGGGCCCAUUGGACUAUGGCUAUGGUGACCUCUGAGUGCCUGGAUAACUGAGCAUAGUGAAAUGAAUCCUAGGGAACUAAUUCCCUAGGAAGCCCUUCUUGAGUAGGGGUCCCAGGCUUCUCAAAAGGUUUGUACUUUUGCACCCAUGAGUCUGUGAUGCAUGGGAUCUCACUAAAUUCUGAGGUGCCCUGCGGGCAUCUUUCUUCUGGUUCCUGUACAAAGUACUUGAUUUUUUUUUCCUCCCAGUACCGGGGAUCCAACUCAGGAUCUUGUGCUUGCCAAUCUGGCACGGCACCACUGAGCUACAUCCCUGGCCAACUUGAUUUCUUUUUAAUGGAACUAAUCUCUUCAACAAUCACAACUUUUUUGGCCCCAACUUUAAUUAAGAAUUUAUUUAAAAAGUUUUCAUUUUUAGAAAUAAAGGUUUAAAAAACAAAAAUUUCCAAAACCAGUAAUUCUGUUAUAUCCUAAUUGUUUAGAAUUUUUCUAUAAACUCCAAAUAAGUAAAUAAUAAAAAAAUAAUUUCCAAAUCUUACAGAACAAAAAGAAAACCACAUUAAUCAUUAAAUACUUUUGGAUUUGCUUUACUUCUCCCAGGUUGAAUUCACAUAUAUAAAAACUGAUGUCCUUUACAUUCUGAAUCUCAAAUCUUCAACAGUCAAGUAAUUAUACAGUUAUAUGUAAAGUAUGUAUUUCAUAUUUACUUGCCAUAGAAAGCAGAAUGGAGAAUAAUACUGUGAUGUUUAAGAAAAUGCUGUUUCAAAAAUGUUGACUAGGUUCUUCUCUCUUUUAAGGUAUAUAUAGCUUUUUAGAUGUUAAACCUUUUGAAGGUUAUUUUAGAAGGGAUGUGAAGUGACUAGUUUAUUUCAGAUUUAGUGAAGAGUAAUUUGUCAGUAAUCUCAAAAAUCCAAGCCAGGAGAGGAUCAUUUUCUUUCUUUUUUCUUCAUGUGCUCAUUUCCUUCGUAAGGAAGGCCUGAUGCAGUAAGAGGAUACAUUUCACAAACUUCUAACACAGGUUUGUGAAUUGUCAGCUAAAGACACCACCUCUGAUGUGGAUGGUUUCAUUCAAUCUAUGUUCUACCAACUUUAUAUCUUCUAGAUCAUCUUUUAUAAUGCUAAUCAAGUGGCUAAGGCCUUCCUUUUGUUGGUUCAAAUGCUGUUUGAUCUCAUGUAACAGAUCUGCAUCUAUGUAAUAUCUUUCUUCAGAUCUGACUGCUCCAAAAUGGUUCUGCAUCCUGAUUUGGGACAUCAGUUCGUUUUGGCCCCAACUUUAUAUGUGCUUCCUUUGGGUCAAAAUUUAAGUUUUUCAAAUGUUUUAAUCUGGUUUUUGCCCGUACUUCUCACUUUAAUUCUGCCUAAGCACACCAUCAGUGGUCUGGCAGAGGAAUUUUCAAGACAGCCAGCCCAUUGCCCUUAAUCUCAGUUUCCCACAAAGUCUCAGGACAUGGGCAAAAUGCAGCCAAAUUGUUUUUUGUCAGCUUAACUCACAUAGCCUCUAGUCCAGCUGCCAAUGUAGUCCUUGUUCCCAGCUGACCCCUCUUGAGCCUAGCUUUUACUGCCUGCAUUCUUAUCAGCAUUUUGACCUUCUAUGCUCCAAUCAGAAUCAUCCAUCCGGCUCUGCUUUCAGCAUUCCAAGGCUUCUGUAGUCUGUAUCUAUAAACCUUUCCAAAUCUCUCGCGCAAACCGACUUCCUAAACCACAUGUACAGGUACAGUUACAGUGGCCGCCCUACUUUUCACUAAUUUUCUAUAUUAGUUUUUCUAUUACUAAGAUACAAUACUUAAGAGCCUCAACUUAAAGGAGGAGAAGCUUAAUGUGGCUCGUGAUUUUGGGAAUUCAGUCCAUGGUAGGUUGGCCCUGUGUCAGAAACGUCAUGUCAGAAGACUGUGGUGAAGCAAAGAGAUUUAAUUAAUGGUGGCCAGAAAGCAGAGCAGGGGAACAGUGCCAGAGAGGAAUGAGCCAGGGACCAGACAUAAACCCCUAAGGCCAUACCUCCAUGACCAAUCCAGACACAUCCUGAAGUGUGUUCCACCCAUCCUCCAGGCAUAGCCCAAACCCAAGCAAGACGAUACUCCACUCCAAGUGCUACUGUCAGGGAGUGGAACCUCUACAUGUGAGAAACUGGGAAGAAGCGAACAGUUCUGCAGUGGGGCAGGAGAGAGUCAGCACACCCUUACUUCAGUAAUUUUACCGUCUAUUAUAUUGUUGUAAAUCUACUAUACCUUAUUUAUUUCACCCUUUCAAAUUCUAAAGUGACAGUAAUUUACAUGAUCUCCUAUGCAAUGGUGGUAUAUUUUCCCCGGUUCUUUUCCAAAAGAUUCCACUUUUCUGUUUUAUAUAUACUAUUGUCUACUAAGCUCAACGUAUUGAAGAGUAUCUUGAUAUUCUUCUCUAUCCAACUGUGUUCACAAGAAAGAAACUUACAAGUUCUUUCACUAAUAAAUUAUAAAUGAUUAAUAAAGCUUAAUACUAUCACACCUAAAUGUAUAAUAGAAAAUGAAUGUUUAGAGCCAAAGAUAGUCAUGUUUAAUCACAUAAUUGUUAAGAAGAAUUUGAGACUUCAUCCUACUUAUAAGAUAACAAGAAAGCUUGUUAUAGCUUCAUGGUGCUUGUAGAAGAUAUGAGUCUCCUGGGUCAGAGACAGAGGAUACUCUAUUUAUUCACUGCAGUUUUAGAGCCGGAUAUCGGUCCUAACUCUCACCAAGUGAUGUGGAAAAUGUGAGAUGACACUUACUUUGCAGUGAUUGUGCUACCAGGGGUACAGAAGGAAUCCAGAAUUUAGUGAAUUUAAGUCUUUUAUGAUGGGCAGUAAAUAUGUCUGCUUUUCUUGGGAGGGAGACAACUAUACAUUCCAAGACUCUUCAUUAGAUAAGCAUGCUAGAGAGGAAUAAUGGUAAGUAGAAACAGGAGAGACCUAUGGAGAUUUGACCCUCAAUAACAUCUGCAGAUCAACAAGAGCCACUGGAGAUGUCACGGUGAGAAUUUGUUUUUGCUAAGUUUUAAGUAGUACUAGAGGCAGUCGUGUACUUUGCUUAUGCAAAGUCUGAAUUCAGUUUUCCAAAUUUUCCCAGAGUCUUCCUACUUUACGUAUAUUUCUAUCAAUAAAUAUAUAAUUACAAUUUUGUUUUUUUCCUGGGAAUAAAAGUAAUGCAUGGUCAUUAUAGCAAAUGUGGAGAAGUAGGAAGGAAAUAUAAAAAUCAUUCACAGUUUCAUCACUCAGAGGUAAACCUUCAUUAAAAUGUUGGCUUUUUAAAUGGUUCAGUCCAUAUUCUUUUUCAUGUAAAUUGAGAUAAUGUUAUUUACUUAUGUAUUUUGAUAGUUUUGCUUUUUUACAUAUGGAGAGAAUUGUACAAGGUCAUGAGUUAUUGCAUAAAAUUAUGAUUUUAAAAUAAUUGCAUAAUAUUCUUACAGUAAUAUGCCAUUUUAAAAAACUAUUCCUUCAGUGUUAGAAAAUUUGCUAUUAAAUAGUACAAUGAUGAAUAUUCUGGUACAUAAAUGCUUUUCAUUGCUGUUAGUUAGCUUCCUAUAAGAAAAAUUAUGGAAUUGAAGUGUCUAGUUUUAUUUUAAGGUUCUAUUUCCAGACUGCUUUCAAGAAAGAUUAUACCAAUUUACAUACAUAGAACAAUGUUGGUGAUUGUUUUUCUCCUCACAUAUUCAAUACAGUUGAAUGUUUUAAUUUUAAAACCUGUUAAUAAGAUAGCUAAAAAUAUGCUUUUAAAUUAGCAUUUUUUGAUUACUAGUAAAAUAUAGUUGUGCCUUAAUAUGGGGGGGGGCUUUGGCUCCAGAACCUCUCUGGGAACCAAAGCCUGCUGAUGCUCAAGUAUCUUAUAUCACAAGGUGUGGUAUUUGCUUAUAACCUAUUCUCAUCCUCUAGAUAUGUUAAAUCUUCCCUAGAUUACUUAUACAGCCUAAUACAAUGAAAAUACCAUGUAAAUACUUGUUAUAUUGUAUGGUUUAGGGAAUAAUGACAUGAAAAAAAUAAGUCUGUACAUGCUCAGUAUGCCACUGUUUUAGAAAAACAUUUUUAAUUCAAGGUUGUUUAAAUCAUUUUGUUACAAAACCUUUGGAUAUGAAAAGCUGUUAUCUUUCUCUGUUAUUUAAUGGAUCCUUUGUAUUUGUUUUUAAAAUCUGCUCAUGACCUUUUUCAUUAUCCUAAUAAAGUUUUAAUAUUUUUCUUACUAAAGAAAAGCUUUCCAAAUACCCUGUCUGUAACAUUUUGUAUACUAGAAUUUUGUAAAGUAUCUCCCUAAAUGGUUUAUUUUUAAGUUGUAUUAAUGCUGAUUUUAGACACUUGGACAUUAAACAUUGUCUGGCC
rnacentral:lncRNA from 1 species